UAAUGCAGCUAAGGUUUCCUGGCAAAAUUCAGUGUUUUUUUUUUUUUUUUUAAGACUGAUAGUCAUGCUUAAAUCCUUCAUGUACAAGAUCUCUUCUUCAGCCAUACCUUGCCUCUGCUCUCCCUAUACAAUGAGUGUAAUGCUGCUCUGACAGCGAAGUGAGAAUUCAUUAGCAUCACCAUAACUAAUACAAAAGUAGGACAAAAUACUGGUUGAAAUCCAAGACCCAAGCGUGAACUUGCCUGCAGAGAUGCUCGAAAAUGCUGCGUAAAAUAUGGCUGCCUGGAGAGUUGGACAUGACCACCCAGGAACUCCCUUUGUGUAUUGUGCCCUGAGUUCCUAACUACAAAGCUUUUCACUUGUAUUGUCUACCAAAUGCAUGUGUAGUUUGAAACUGAAAUAUCUGAAAAUCAUCUCCUGAUUUUAUUGGCCUGAAAGAAGGGUCUGUUCAUUUUGUUAUAGAUCUGACAGAUGUCUCAAGUGUGAAGAAUAAGCAGGAAGCUUAUAAGGCAUAUAUGAUGAAUUCCAAACAUCACUGUUUUGCUUUCCCCCAUCAACAUAAUAGCUAUAAACUAGUAUUUUGACUAGUUUGACAAACUAAUUUGAAUUUGUACUUUCAGAAGCCACAAUGAUGCGUGGAGUCAGCGUGUGAAGAAUCAGGGCCUAUUAACGCUCUUCCGCUCUGGUCAUGCAGGUUUAUUGGACAGUUAUACAACACUUCAAGGUCUUUCAUCUUUUUCUGCCUGUCCAUUUACAUCAAGCCCAAGAGAGCAGACAAAGCUGUCACUAACCAGCAAGCUGUGUGAGGGAAGCCAGGAUGCAAUGACUUAUCUUCAAGAACAGAAGGCAGUAUCUGGAUUUGCU
rnacentral:lncRNA from 1 species